ACAGUGGUCACCUAAUAUUUUUGCAUUUGCAAGAGCUCCUCCUGGUGAUAGCACAACUCUCAAUACUUUGUGCAUCAUGAAGAAAGGUUUCCAAGGAUUUCCAAGGACAAAGAAAAGAGCUGGAUUUCAUAGACAGGUGGGCACUCAACACGGAGUAUUCGGUGAAAACUAGAAAGAGAUGUGCAAGAACGUAAGCUACCUUGGAAGACAAAUAGGCAACACAGGGCCCUAUUGUUUUGCUUGCCUGUCAAACUCAUUGAGUUCAAACUUUUUUGAAUUUUAGAAACCUAAGUUCACACAGUAAUUGGAAGAACAGUCUCAUAAUUUCCAGCUCCCGGGGAAGGCUAACUUGGAACACAACAGAAAAAAGAAGCCCU
rnacentral:lncRNA from 1 species